UUUUCUUUCAUUUGUACACAGAACUAUCCAACAAAGAAGAGAACCAUUCCCAAAAAAAAAACCCAAAAAAUCCUCAACUCCCCUCCAUCCAUAACCGACAGCGACCCUCCAUCACUCCACCAAGCGACACCCACUUAGCGUUUGCACCAAACUUAAAGCAUUACUCCUUACCUUCUCAUUGUAAUCCUCCACCAACCCCAAACAUAUCUCCAAAACCCCUUCUCUCUUGGCUUCCCCACA
rnacentral:misc_RNA from 1 species